GUGUUUUGCUCCACACCUAUUUAAUACCCACUCUCCUCCUCCUCCCCCCCACUAUCUCCUUGGUUAGGGGUACUGCCAAGGAGAUGUUGGGGGGGGGGGGAGGCGGUGGGUAUUAAAUAGGUGUGGAGCACCUGUUUA